UCUUUAUAUUCCAUGGUGCCAUUCCAUGGUAGAGAGUUCCAGAGAAAAUCAUCGACUCAAAAAGACUCCUCUCAUAUGAUGUUGGAUUACAGGUAAGUUAUCUCAAUCUUUGCUCUAAGCAUUUUCUGUUCUCAAUCUCAAGGCUUUCAAAGACUGUUCUUUCAUAUCUCUUCCUUUUCACUGUUGGGUGUUCCAAUUUGAGGGGUUUUUUUUUUGCUUAGAUUCCUUUUCAGUUCUAUUUUGCAACUGAACUUGAUAGAUAAUAUUGUUAUUGUACUGUCUCCCCACUCCCCAAUUUCAUGGUUGAUGAUCAAUUACACUCCCAUCACUUUUCCACUCCAAGCGGCUUUGUCUUGCUUCUCUUCAUCAUUUCGAUUAAUUUACAAAUGCAGCUUAUGGUGAAGUAGAACAUCCUCCUACAGUUCCAUCAGUCAUUUCAAACAGUAAUCAUCCAAGGUCUGAAAGAUAUGAUUCUCGGCACCAUUCUUCAUGCUCUAGAGCAAUACUUAUUGCUAGAUUUGGUGAUAGUGUUGUUCCCAUUAACAUUGUAAAUGAUGAGAGCGAUUCUCAAGCUUUUAUGAGUCGGUUCCAGUCAGAGAUAGCUACUUCUCUGAUUGCAGCUCCGACUGUCAAAUUGCCUUGUACUGUGAAACUUGGAGUAUGGCAUUAUGAUGUUAAUGAUCCAUGUGCGCCGCUUAAUGCUGAAAAAUGUCGUUGUGCUUUGUAGGUGAGAUAAUUUCUAUUGUUUCAAAGCUUUGAAGUCUUGAUAUGCCUUGAAGGGCAACAACUAUUUAACUGUCUUUCAUGAAUUCUGCCUAACAUGGAGGCUGCUUCUAAAUUUCAUGGACAAUUUUGUCAUGAUGGUGCAACUUCAACAGUUAUGACCACUGGCUAGCCAUUUGUGUCUAAAAGAGUUGUAAGGAGGACCCUGUGUUGUGCCGCGAUAUCAAGCUUGCUGGGAGGGCAACCUGAUCGACAAUUUGACAUGUCUCAAUAGGUUUUCUUGUAUCCAACAUUUGCUUGAUUAUAGAAACUCUAAGUUAUGCUUAUUGGUAAAAGAAGUGGGAGUAUCUAUUAAUAAUAAAAGAAAAAGAGCCUUCAUCAAUUGACACAGUGAAAUAACAUCCGUAUAUAUAAGCAAUUUAUAUGGAGAACCAUUGGUUGUGAAAUAACUAUUGGUGGUUGGGGCGGUAUUGAUAAAUGACCUCAGAUAAAAUGCAUCUGACACCAACUAAACUGUUAUACUCUCAGAUAACUUGCGCCUGGCACCAACUAAGCUAUUAUAUGACAAAUUUUUCAUUGUGUCUCUAUCUAUGCAGUCGCGAUCUGAUUUUGGGAACAGUGAACUAAGCCAUACUAUGUAGGGCAUUUCUAUGAUGGGUAUAGGUAUGCAUUCCCACCACCAUACGAUUCAGGGAUGUAUACUUCCGCCUAUGGGGCUUAUCCAGUGUAUGGAACUCACCAACAACAAGUAAGCUGAAAGUCUGCUACCGAGUUUCUCCGCUUGAAUGGUGAAUGUGCUUACUUCAUUUGUUUCAAAUUGGGAAUGUAGAAUUUAAUAAAAUCCGUCCAAAUGAGGAGUGGAAUUGAAUUUUGACUGGAUGAGUUAGUCUCCAAGGGAUUCUAUUAAACAUAUAUUUAGAAAUUUGGACUUUUAGACAUAAAACUUCUUGGGGUUAUGUAUGAGCUACAUAUAUAUUCUUUGGAGGAGGCAAGACUCCGCUUAACUUCACUUGGUUCAUGCCACAACGAUCUAUUUGGAAGGACAGUUUUAAUGCACUCUUGACUAUGAAGAAGACAGAAUCUUAGUCAAGAACUU